rnacentral:lncRNA from 1 species
AUGAAUUGUGCAGCUUGUCUCAACGCUUCCCGUCACUGUGCAGAACCUUCAAAAGUAACGCACAGGGCAGGUUCACGGAAGCUGCAUCUCUGCCGGCUAAGGCUUUCUUUCUUUAUCUUGCCUCACUCCACAGCACCCCGGCAGACCCACAGGACAGAGGGCACUCAGAGCUCAGAAGGCAGAGGACGCUGUCACUCAGUGACAUCCGCUCAGUGCUUCAGCCAAGAAGAAUCGAGGAACCUGGGCACACAUUCACCUUGCUGCACACAAAGUGAGGAUCUAUCCUUCUAUCCCUUUGGUAAGAUCAGAUGGAAUCCAGGUUACAUCUGGGUUUCAGGAAGCGGAAGAGCACACUUCAGGAACUGCUAUUAUAGAUUCAUACAUUUAAGAGAUAUAUCAACCAACCGCAGUGUAUGGAUCUUGUUUGGAUUCCGAUUUGGACAAAUAAAUUUAGAAAAACAAAAAUCUUAUGAAGAGAAACGUGAACAUGGACUAGAUAGCUAAUGAUAGCAAGGAAUCU